rnacentral:rRNA from 1 species
UUCCGGUUGAUCCCGCCGGACCUGACUGCUAUCGGAUUGAUACUAAGCCAUGCGAGUCAUUGUAGCAAUACAAGGCAGACGGCUCAGUAACGCGUAGUCAAUCUACCCUAUGGACGGGAAUAACCUCGGGAAACUGAGAAUAAUGCCCGAUAGAACAUUAUGCCUGGAAUGGUUUAUGUUUCAAAUGAUUUAUCGCCAUAGGAUGGGACUGCGGCCUAUCAGUUUGUUGGUGAGGUAAUGGCCCACCAAGACUAUUACAGGUACGGGCUCUGAGAGGAGUAGCCCGGAGAUGGGUACUGAGACACGGACCCAGGCCCUAUGGGGCGCAGCAGGCGAGAAAACUUUGCAAUGUGCGAAAGCACGACAAGGUUAAUCCGAGUGGUUUCUGCUAAAGAAACCUUUUGUCAGUCCUAGAAACACUAACGAAUAAGGGGUGGGCAAGUUCUGGUGUCAGCCGCCGCGGUAAAACCAGCACCUCAAGUGGUCAGGAUGAUUAUUGGGCCUAAAGCAUCCGUAGCUCGUUUUGUAAGUUUCCGGUUAAAUCCAUGCGCUUAACGUAUGGGCUGCCGGGAAUACUGCAUAACUAGGAAGUGGGAGAGGUAGACGGUACUCGGGAGGAAGGGGUAAAAUCCUUUGAUCUCUUGAUGACCACCUGUGGCGAAGGCGGUCUACCAGAACACGUUCGACGGUGAGGGAUGAAAGCUGGGGGAGCAAACCGGAUUAGAUACCCGGGUAGUCCCAGCUGU